rnacentral:lncRNA from 1 species
GUCUAUUGGAUUUGGUGUUGUCUCUAAGUGUGUGCACAUUCCUUUUACUGAUGAUCACAGACAACAAUGACUGCACAGUGCCAGUGAGUUCCCAGGGUGAGGAGAAAGACUGGAUCCAUCCUAUAGAUGAGGUUGCUUCAAGAACUUUAGGGACUGUUCCACACACCUUGUCUGUCCUGGCUGGGGAAAACCAGUCAGAGCUGAGAGUCCAGGCCCAUUACCCUGCAUUGUCUACAGUUACUCCUGAGGGCCAGCUCAUGUCUCGGGGUCUCAGUUUGGGAGCAUAUCACAGAGGAAGAAUGAGCAGCAGACCCAUGGAAAGGACCCUCCUCUGUCUCUGUGCCCCUUCAGUGCUGUCCCAUGUGCCUGGAAUGCUCUUCUUCCUCACUGCCACUUCCUGGCUUCACGUCCUUCAUGUUUGCUCUGAAACACACAUGUGGGGAAACUUCCAGUGAUAUUUUCUUGCUACUAUGAUCUCCCCAAGAAGUCUUUUCUCUAAUGCCCAUACCUCAUGCUGGACAGAGGAGUGUCUGUGGCAGGUUUCUGACUGAGUGUGCUUUUUCAGUUUAAAGUUUUUAAUAUUAAACUUACACACUAAGAGAAGAACAUUUCCAUACCUACAGCAGAACCCAGAAAGAGGAUUCUGUGUGAAGCUAUGAACCUCUCUUUCACACAAUUGCAAAAGAAUAAAGUCCAUCCCUGUCACUGUAAACCGUCCUGC